GGAUACAGGCAUGAGCCACCAUGCUUGGCCUACAUGUAGAGUCUUGAAAGCUAGGCAGCAAACUUUAGGCUCCAUGCUGAAGGCAUUGAGGAGCAGGAAUUUUAAGAGAAGAAGAUACAAGAAUCUUUCCUGCCUGGGCACAGUUGCGCAAGACACAGAACAAAGCCUUGGGCUCCAGGAAUGACCCUGACCCUGGGAACCAGACCAUCUUCCAAAAUCUGAGAAAGAAUUGGAGGUGGGGGAGUUUGGGCCACAAGACCUGGAAAAGUCCUGCAAGUGUCCCCAGUACCCCAUGGCCUUCCUGGAGCACACAUCAAGCCAGUUCCAUUCGUCGGCUGUGUGGUGGCAGGAGGAGCAGUUGAGGGUCUCAGAAGGGCAGCCACACUUCCCGGAACUGAACCAAGGGCAGUUGCAAUGCCGUGGUACCAAGUACAUUCGUUUUUCCUGGGGUGCCGAUUCAGGUGUCGGAUCCAGAUAGGGGGUCAUCAGCCAGAGGAUGAGCACCCAAAAGACCCACAGGACAAAAAUCUGCCAGCGCUGCAUGUCUGGCCCAGGCGGUGGCUCCCGUGGCGGGCCGCAGACUGGCUUCUCUACCUGGAAGGACGAAGGGCUGAGGCCACAGACAGCACCAGCUUCCCUCUGUCCUCUCGGCCUCCACAACUCCCCACCCUCCACCCUCCACCUCCUUCCAACCCCUCCUCUGCUGCCUCACUAUCCAUUUGCUCACCCCCAAAACGGUCUCUGACUGGGCAUGGGGUGGAAGAGGCAGAGAGACAGCAUGUGGCUAGUCCUGCGAGGGGAAGGAAUACCUCAGUGGGCCCUUGGUGUUAUCCCAGUUAUAUCAUAGAUCUCAUCACAAAGUACGCAUUGUGACCUCCCUCCUUUAACCUGCCUGGAAAAAGCCACCACCCUUCCCUUUCUCUGACACCCAAACGACCUCCACUGGAUGUAAGAUCCAUGAGGACAGGGCCUGACCUAGUCUGUCUUCUCCUCUGCAGCUCUAAGACUUAGAAUCGUUUAAUAAAUAUUUAUGGGAUAAAUAAACAGGGGUUGAGAGGGAACUUUUUUUUUUUUUUUUUGAGAUGGAGCUUUUGCUCUGUCGUCCAGGCUGGAGUGCAGUGGCGUGAUCUUGGCUCACUGCAACUUCCACCUGCCUGGUUCAAGCAAUUCUCAUGCCUCACCCUCCCAAAUAGCUGGGACUACAGGCACCUGCCAACACGCCUGGCUGAUUUUUGUAUUUUUAGUAGAGACAGGGUUUCGCCAUAUUGGCCAGGCUGGUCUCAAACUCCUGACCUCAAGUGAUCCACCCACCUCAGCCACCCAAAGUGCUGGAAUUAUAGGCAUGAGCCACCAUGCCCAGCCGGGAACUUUAUUUUUUAAUUUUUAUUAUUAUUAUUAUUUUGAGACAGAUUCCCAAAGUGCUGGAAUUAUAGGCAUGAGCCACCAUGCCCAGCUGGGAACUUUAUUUUUUUAUUUAUAUUAUCAUUAUUAUUUUGAGAUGGAGUUUCACUCUUGUCACCCCUGCUGGAGUACAGAGGCAUGAUCUCGGCUCACUGCACCCUCUGCCUCCGGGGUUUAAGUGAUUCUCUUGCCUCGGCUUCCCAAGUAGCUGGGAUUACAGGUGCCUGCCACCAUGCCUGGCUAAUUUUUUUUGUAUUUUUAGUAGAGACAGGGUUUCCCCAUGUUGGUCAGGCUGGUCUCGAACUUCUGACCUCAGGUGAUCCACCCGCCUUGGCCUCCCAAAGUGCUGGGAUUACAGGCAUGAUUCACUGCACCCCACCCCAGCUGGGAACUUUAAAUGUACUUGUGUGUGAUGCCCUCUCUGGAGUUGUGUGACAUCAACUCAAUCCUCUCUUGUAGUCUCUAGACCCCAUAUCCAACAGCCUACUGAAUUGCCACUUAGAUGGCUCAGAGACAUCUCACCUGAAUAAGCCUGAGACUGAACCCAGGAUUUUCCCUGUAAACCAACCCUUCCCAAAACUUCUCUGUCUCUUUUGUUUUGUUUGAGACAGAGUCUUGCUCUGUCACCCAGGCUGGAGUGCAGUGGCGCAAUCUCAGCUCACUGCAACUUCUGCCUCUGGGGUUCAAGCAAUUCUCCUGCCUCUGCCUCCCGAGUAGCUGGGAUUACAGGUGCGUGUCACCAAGCCUGGCUAAUUUUUUGUAUUUUUAGUACAAACGGGAUUUCACCAUGUUGUCCAGGCUGAUCUCAAACUCCUGACCUCAGGUAAUCUGCCCACCUCGGCCUCCCAAAGUACUGGGAUUACAGGCGUGAGCCACUGCACCCAGCUUCAAAACUUCUCUAUCUCAAUAAAUGGUUCUACCAUGUACCCAGUUAUUGAAACCAGAACUCAUGUAUUCUUAAUUCCUCCUACUCCUAUGAUACCCAAAUUCUUUUUUUUUUUUUUUAGGACAAAGUCUCGCUCUAUCACCCAGGCAGGAGUGCAGUGCCACAAUCUUAGCCCACUGUAGCCUCUGCCUCCAAGGUUCAAGCAAGCCUUUCACCUCAGCCUGCCAAGAUGCUGGGACUACAGAAGUGUGCCACCACACUAGACUUAUUUAUUUAUUUAAUUUAUUUUUGAGACAGAGUCUCACUCUGUCGCCCAGGCUGGAGUGCACUGGCACAAUCUCAGCUCACUGCAACCUCUACCUCCCAGGUUCAAGUGAUUCUCAUGCCUCAGCCUCCCAGGUAGCUGGGACUACAGGUGCACAACAUCACACGUGGCUCAUUUUCGUAUUUUUUGGUAGAAACGGGGUUUCACUGUGUUGGCUAGGCUGGUCUCCAUCUCCUGGUCUCAAGCAAUCCACCCACCUCGGCCUCCCAAAGUGCUGGAAUUACAGGUGUGAGCCACCGAGCCUUGCCAUUUUUUUUUUCUUAAGUAGAGAUGGGGUUUACCGUGCCAGCCCUGUCUCGAACUCCUGAGCUCAAGUGAUCCACCCUCCUCGGCCUCUCAAAGUGCUGAGAUUACAGGCAUAAGCCACUGCGCCCGGCCUCAAAUCCAUUUUUUAAUUCAUUUGUUUCUAUUUCUAAGUCAUCUUCUUCGACUCCACUGCCACCCCCUUAAUUCAAUUGUAGUCUUGUAAAGAUAGGAAAAAAAUGAAAAUUUUUGAGUUGUUUUUAAGGUUUAAGAAAAAACAGAACAUUUUGGUUUUCUAAAAAAUAAAAACAUUUUAUUCAAUGGGAUAAGAACAGUAAAAUUCUUCAUUUUAACUAGUGGAAAGCUGCACUGGCUAUUGUAUAGCUUUUAAAUCAAUUCACCCAAAAAUCUGAGUAAGGUCUGUAGGCUAGUUAAUUAUAUCAUACCAAUGUCAAGUUCCAGGUUUUGAAAAAGUACCAUAUGGGCUGGGCACGGUGGCCCACGCCUGUAAUCCCAGGAUUUUGGGAGGCAAUGUGGGCGGAUCACCUGAGGUCAGGAGUUCGAGACCAGCCUGACCAACAUGGAGAAACCCUGUCUCUAUUAAAAAUACAAAAUUAGCCGAGCAUGGCGACGCAUGCCUGUAAUUCCAGCUAUUCGGGAGGCUGAGGCACGAAAAUCGCUUGAACCCGGGAGGCGGAGGAUGCGGUGAGCCGAGAUCGCGCCACUGAAUAUGAUUUUAGCUGGGCAAAAAGAGCUAAACUCCGUCUCAAAAAAAGAAAAAGAAAAAUUACUAUAUGUACUAUAUGGUAAGACACUACCAUUAAGAGAAAAUGAAGGCCAGGCACAGUGGCUCAUGCCUGUAAUCCCAGCACUUUGGGAGGCCAAGGUGGGGUUUGAAGCUUGAAGCCAGGAGUUUGAGACCAGCCUGGGCAAUACAGCAAGACCCCUUCUCUACACACACACACACACACACACACACACACACACACACACACAAUUAGCUAGGCUUGGUGGUGUGUGCCUUUAUUCCUGGCUAUUUGGGAGGUUCAGGUGGGAGGAUCACCUGAGUCCAGGAGUUAAAGGCUGCAGUGAGUUAUGAUAGCAGCCAUAGCUGCUAGUGGAUAGCAAGUUACGCACUCCGGGCUGGGUGACAGAGCAAGACUCUGUCUCUAAAAAAAAAUAAAAUAAAGCAAAAAUAAAGAAUAAAAUGGGAAAAUGGA